rnacentral:rRNA from 1 species
AUUGAACGCCGGCGGCAGGCCUAACACAUGCAAGUCGAGCGGAUGAAGGGAGCUUGCUCCUGGAUUCAGCGGCGGACGGGUGAGUAAUGCCUAGGAAUCUGCCUGGUAGUGGGGGAUAACGUCCGGAAACGGGCGCUAAUACCGCAUACGUCCUGAGGGAGAAAGUGGGGGAUCUUCGGACCUCACGCUAUCAGAUGAGCCUAGGUCGGAUUAGCUAGUUGGUGGGGUAAAGGCCUACCAAGGCGACGAUCCGUAACUGGUCUGAGAGGAUGAUCAGUCACACGGGAACUGAGACACGGUCCAGACUCCUACGGGAGGCAGCAGUGGGGAAUAUUGGACAAUGGGCGAAAGCCUGAUCCAGCCAUGCCGCGUGUGUGAAGAAGGUCUUCGGAUUGUAAAGCACUUUAAGUUGGGAGGAAGGGCAGUAAGUUAAUACCUUGCUGUUUUGACGUUACCAACAGAAUAAGCACCGGCUAACUUCGUG